rnacentral:rRNA from 1 species
UACAGAGAGUGCAAGCGUUAAUCGGAAUUACUGGGCGUAAAGCGUGCGUAGGUGGAUAUUUAAGUCGGAUGUGAAAUCCCUGGGCUUAACCUGGGAAUGGCACCCGAUACUGAAUGUAUAGAGUAUGGUAGAGGGAAGUGGAAUUUCCGGUGUAGCGGUGAAAUGCGUAGAUAUCGGAAAGAACACCAGUGGCGAAAGCGGCUUCCUGGACUAAUACUGACACUGAGGCACGAAAGCGUGGGGAGCAAACAGG